UCUUCGGAUCUAGUGGCAGACGGGUGAGUAACGCGUGGGAACCUGCCCAGUAGUAGAGAAUAACUUGAGGAAACUUAAGCUAAUACUUUAUACACCCUCCGGGGAAAAGCUUUAUGCGCUAUUGGAUGGGCCCGCGUUAGAUUAGUUUGUUGGUGAGGUAAUGGCUCACCAAGACUACGAUCUAUAGCUGGUCUGAGGGGAUGAUCAGCCACACUGGGACUGAGACACGGCCCAGACUCCUACGGGAGGCAGCAGUGGGGAAUAUUGGACAAUGGGGGCAACCCUGAUCCAGCGAUGCCGCGUGAGUGAUGAAGGCCUUCGGGUUGUAAAACUCUUUCGUCAGGGAAGAUAAUGACGGUACCUGAAGAAGAAGAUCCGGCUAACUCCGUGCCAGCAGCCGCGGUAAUACGGAGGGAUCUAGCGUUAUUCGGAAUUACUGGGCGUAAAGCGAGCGUAGGCGGAUUUGUAAGUUGGAGGUGAAAUCCCAGAGCUUAACUCUGGAACUGCCUUCAAAACUACAUUUCUUGAGUUUGGUAGAGGAGAGUGGAAUUCCUAGUGUAGAGGUGAAAUUCGUAGAUAUUAGGAGGAACACCAGUGGCGAAGGCGACUCUCUGGGCCAAUACUGACGCUGAGGUUCGAAAGCAUGGGUAGCGAACAGGAUUAGAUACCCUGGUAGUCCAUGCAGUAAACGAUGAGUGCUAGAUGUUGGGAAUUUAAAUUUCCAGUAUCGCAGUUAACGCGUUGAGCACUCCGCCUGGGAAGUACGGCCGCAAGGCUAAAACUCAAAUGAAUUGGCGGGGACCCGCACAAGCGGUGGAUCAUGUGGUUUAAUUCGAAGAUACGCGAAGAACCUUACCGGCCCUUGACAUACCAAUCGCGGACUU
rnacentral:rRNA from 1 species